rnacentral:tRNA from 1 species
GCCGCUAUCGUCUAACGGUUAGGACAUAUGAUUCUCAAUCAUAUAACCGGGGUCCGAUUCCCCGUAGCGGUACCA